rnacentral:rRNA from 1 species
GACGUAGGGGGCAAGCGUUGUCCGGAAUCAUUGGGCGUAAAGCGCUCGUAGGUGGAUCGGUAAGUCUGCAAAGAAAGACCCGGGCUCAACUCGGGGAACGGUGUGGAUACUACCGAUCUUGAGGCAAUCAGAGGAUGAUGGAAUUCCCGGUGUAGCGGUGAAAUGCGUAGAUAUCAAGUGGAACACCAGUGGCGAAGGCGAGUCUCUGGACAUUUCCUGACGCUGAGGCACGAAAGCCAGGGGAGCAAACGGG